UUACGGCCAUAUCACGUUGAAACACCGAUUUUCGUACAAUCACUGAAGUUAAGCAACGUCGACCAUAGUCAGUAACUAGAUGGGUGACUACUUGGGAAUACCAAUGGUUGUAUG